UUGGAAACUGGUUAACUUGAGUGCAGAAGAGGAAAGUGGAACUCCAUGUGUAGCGGUGGAAUGCGUAGAUAUAUGGAAGAACACCAGUGGCGAAGGCGGCUUACUGGACUGCAACUGACGUUGAGGCUCGAAAGUGUGGGUAGCAAACAGGAUUAGAUACCCUGGUAGUCCACACCGUAAACGAUGAACACUAGGUGUUAGGAGGUUUCCGCCUCUUAGUGCCGAAGCUAACGCAUUAAGUGUUCCGCCUGGGGAGUACGACCGCAAGGUUGAAACUCAAAGGAAUUGACGGGGACCCGCACAAGCGG
rnacentral:rRNA from 1 species